GUUUACACAUUACACUCAUACUCAUCUUCUUCUUCAUUAGCCGCCGCUGCCCUCUCAUCUCAAAGACUCAAACUCAUCUUCUUCUUCAUUACAUUUACAGAUUUACUCGUCUCUCCUCCAGUCCUCCUCCCGUCCUCUCCUCUCAAAUUGGCUUGUUUUCUCUAUCUUCUUCUUUAUGCACGCGCCAUGGUGUAACCUUAGCAGCCGGGGAAGUUGUUUUGGCUUUACAGCAACCUUAUGCUCUUUCCACAGCCAAAAUUUGGUGGGAAAAUAAUAGACAUUGUCUCUGGAGAUAUUGGAAGUUUGGAACACCUGAACAGCAAGCUGCAUCUUUAAACGCAGUCAGGGACACCAUCCUUGGGAUCUUUCUUAUUGUUGUUGUUGGGUGAUUCCGUGAUUGCACUUGGCCAAUUGAAGAAUGCUUGAGCCUUAAAGUUGAGGGGAGAUGCCGGUUUACAACUUUCAUUUGUUAUUUCUUAAUCACUUUUGUACUUGAUCAUUAAAAUUUAAAGGAACAGUUUGUAUUUUAUGAUAAUGUAAUUGGUGAUUAUUAGUUAUUAUGCUUAGAUGAG